rnacentral:tRNA from 1 species
GGAGGUGUGGCUCAGUAGUAGAAUGCUUGCCUACCAUACAUGAAGCCCUGGGUUUGAUCCCCAGCAGCUUUC